rnacentral:lncRNA from 1 species
GGACACUCAUGCUUUAUCCAUAGUACUUCUCCACCAGCAGUUUUGUAAAGAUCAGAGGAAGUGAUGAGCUCAGAGAGCAGAGUCGGGCACAAGAAGGAGGAUACUAUUGGGUGCCCAUCAGUUGCUGUGCCUGUUAUGGCUUAGAUACUCUUGCUGCUAUGUGGAGAACAGAUGGGAGGUGGACACUCAGGGAAACAGGUAAUUUGCCUUGCUACCAGUGUUUCUCUACCAUAAAAAUAUUAUGAG